AGAACGAACGCUGGCGGCAGGCUUAACACAUGCAAGUCGAACGGUUGUAGCAAUACAGCAGUGGCGCACGGGUGAGUAACGCGUGGGAACGUGCCUUUCAGUAUGGGAUAACGUCGGGAAACUGACGCUAAUACCGUAUAUUCCCUCCGGGGGAAAGAUUUAUCGCUGAAAGAUCGGCCCGCGUAAGAUUAGGUAGUUGGUGGGGUAAUGGCCUACCAAGCCUACGAUCUUUAGCUGGUCUGAGAGGAUGAUCAGCCACACUGGAACUGAGACACGGUCCAGACUCCUACGGGAGGCAGCAGUGGGAAUAUUGGACAAUGGGCGCAAGCCUGAUCCAGCCAUGCCGCGUGAGUGAUGAAGGCCUUAGGGUUGUAAAGCUCUUUGUCAGGGAAGAUAAUGACGGUACCUGAAGAAUAAGCACCGGCUAACUUCGCGCCAGCAGCCGC
rnacentral:rRNA from 1 species